GGAGCGCCUCUGACUGACUUCCCCCAUGUGUCCGUGUGGCCACACCGUGCUACUUUCAGAGGCAGUGGGCUUUUCGCUAAGGGAUAAAAAGAAGUAAAACCUUGCCUUUAGCGCAGCUCUCCUUCACUGGGCAGAUUGCUCUCCCUCCCCACUCUCCCAGGCCCAAAUUGGAUCUCAGCGCCUGGGAGCUCCAACUUUAGCAAGUGCGAAAUCCUGUCUUCGGUUUUGGAAUUUUCAUCCGCACAGACUAUAUCAGCCACGGAUAGGAUAUGUGAGAAUACCAGCAUGUCAAGGCUGGGAAUCAUCCUUAGGCAUCACCUAGCCAGUCCUGCCUCUCAUUUUAAGUGGGUAACCAGGAUGGAACUGCGGUGUUGCUUGCAGGAGAAGCUUACUACUGGUUUCUACUUCUCCAACCUCAUUGGUGGCUAUGCAGAGAAUAGACGCCUUGAUGGCUCCUCUGGCAGUUCUUGAUGACCAUGGAUGAGCUAAUGGCUGUGGUCUCAAUGGUGGCUUCUUGAGAUGGUAUUGCCUCUGAAUUUGCUGAUUCAGAAGAUGUCGGACUCAUGUUAUCCUAUAGAAGAUGUAACAACCCAUAUACAUUUAUGAAAAUCAGGAACUACAUUAUUAUAAUGAUGAAGGAAAAGCCCAAGAAAUCAACCAACCUGA
rnacentral:lncRNA from 10 species